rnacentral:lncRNA from 1 species
AGGAGGAACAGUUGCCUCAGCACGUCUGCGCAGCUUUCCUUGCGGCGCCCCUCCGCGUGGUCUAUGAUGGUGCAUUUUGGUCCAGUCAGGCCCGGUGUGGUCGGCCUCAUUUUGGAUUACUUCGGUGGGCUUCUCCUCGGCGUGGUUACGGUCUAGUACACCUUAGUGUGCUUUUCUCUGCAUGGUCCUUCCCAGCGUGGCUCGUCUCAGCAGCGUGGUUUUCAUCCGUGUGAUCGUCCUCUGCAUGGUUUUUCACGUGAUGCAUUUACUUUAUGGAAUGGGUUUCCCACAACUACUACAGCAGUCUUUUACAUUUAUUUCCAAUAUAAACAUACAAAUGUGGGCAUACAUCUGUAUGUGUAUAUAAAUUUUAACACAUUUAGCAUUUAUGUGUAAUGCAAAGGAUGUUUAGAAGUCAUACAAUGGAAAUACAAGAACACUAUAUAUAGUCUUUUAAAAAUCUGAAAUAGAACAUAAAACUAAAAAAAAAGUUAAGAAAACUUCAAAAUCUCUAGGACUUUAGAUUUGAAAGAGAAUUGAGAUGCAACACCGAAAACUUAAUCCAAGUGGGGGAGGGGACUCAAUUUUAUUAUAAUUAGAAACAAAUGAGUUAUUCCUGCAACAAGUGCAUUUUUCUAAGUAGCAACAGAAGCAAGGAGGAACAGGCUCACUGACUGUUAAAAUGCUGUGCUUUGUGAAGGCAAUGAGACAAGUCACAGAUUUACUGCAUAUCACUUAAUGGAAUCAAGGGCCUUGUACCCAGAGUAUAUAAAGAAGAAUGAUCAUAAUUUGACAACAGUGAAGCAAACAACCCAUCUUAAAAAGUGGAUUACAAAUAAGCAUGGGAAAUUGUGCUCAGCCACAGUCUAUGGUCUUUAUGGAAAUACAAUAUUAAAGCUUCAGUGAGAUAACCCUGAAAAUUAUCAUGAAGAUGGAUAAAGCAUUAAAUUAAAACCUUGUAACAGCCAGCACUUCAAGGAGGCAGAAUGACUGCAACCCUCAUGUGCCCGAGGUGGGAAUGCAAAGUGGCCCAACUGCUCUGAAGAACAAACUUCAUAGCCUUAUAAACACACAUAUGAUUUAUGACUCAGUGUAUGGGAUAUUUAAGUUCACAUAAAUCUGCACACAAAAAUAUACAGCAAUUUUACCUCUAGUUGCACCAAACAAGUUAUAACCAAGAUGGCAACAGUGAAAUGAAUAAAGAAAUCGUGGUGUGUCUAUCUGUCCCACCUAUGCAGUGGAAUAAUGUCCAGCAAUCAACUAGAAUAUUGGAGGAUCCUGGGACAGAUAAUAGACUAUGGGGUACUGUAUAUCAAGGAUUAUACAAACCAGUAUCUAUACUAGAAAAUGGGAGCUGAGGACAAAGUAAGGAUAAUCAGAAACAGUAUAAACUCGAGGUAAGCUGCAUAAAGAUACAAACCCUGAAACAUGGAUGUAUAUAGACUUUCAUUAUAGACAUACAUAUUUCCUAGUUCUACCUGCAGAAAGGAUAUGUUAUCAGUGACCCUUUUGUGGCAAAGAACACACUCUGUGCCCAGGUCAUAUAUAACACUGUUAGUCUGCCAAUAAAAGCGAAUAUGGCUCCUUGGAAGAAUGGCCGCUUCUGGGGCUAGCACAGGGAAACUACACGAUGAACCUAAAAGGAACUAAAUGGAAAGCAUGUCUAAAGGGCUCCUGUACAAGUGGCUAAAGUAGAAAAAGGUUAGCCACAAAACAAUAAUCCUCAGCUAUACCCCAGAAACACAGUUGCCAAGUCCGUCUGUAUUUCUAAAUAACUGAAAGUGAGAUGAAAAAAGUGAUCUCUGUAAGUGUAGAAGGAACGAGUUAACCAGAAGUGCACCGUAGAAAUGCUUGAAAGAUCCGUGGAUGAAGGCUAGAAUAGAAUUAGUAGGUGAAAUCUUUUUUUUUUGUAAUUAUUCCUUCAUUCUCUUUAUUGAUCCAUGUUGAACAUAUACAAUAAACUAAAAAGCCACUUUGUUCAUUUAAUUAUCAUAUAUGAUUGUAUUGUCCAUUUUACAGUUAUGUUGUUUUCCAGUGACAUUGAUUGAAUCCCGGGCUUUGUUCAUGCUAGACAAGCAUUCUGCCACUACACUACAUCCUUAGUCCCAAAAUAAAUUUUAAUUGCUUUAGUGAUUUUAACACAUUCACAGAGUCUCUAAUACUCUUUGCAAGAGAUAGAAUGAAAUUCCUCAUUCUCCGAAUGUUGGCCAGACCUGGUGACUUGCUUUUAAUAACUAGGUCUAAUAAAGGUGAAAUAGUGGGUCAAUUACAGUGAGCUAUUUAAUCAUGUAAAGUUGACACCAUGGUGAUGGAAGAAAAUGAGAAAAGCACCUUGCCUUAAUGACAUUUACGACACCUGUAACCCUAUUCUAAUUUUGAGAGAAUGUUAUACAGACCCAGAGUAGCACUGACAUUUGAUAAGUAUUUAAAAGCAUCAACUCCAGUGACAGUACUGACAGGACACCAAGGUCCUGCUGAAUGAGCGUGAUGGUAGAUAUUGGACAGGCUCUUGGAGCAUCAAACUGGGAGAAAGACUAAAGUGUAGCUCUACAGCAUUGUAUUAAAUUAAACUUGUUUUAGUUUUUAAUCAAAGUAACAUGGUUAUGUGAGGUACUUCGUGAAAGGUACAUUGCAAGACUAUUUUUUCUUUUACAAGAAUAUGUAAUAUAUGCAAAUAAAACACACAAAUUAAAAGGGAAAAGAAGCAGAAUAGUAGAAAAGAAUCUCUAGUGUAUAAAGAUAGAUUAAAAACUAUUAAGAAAAGCACAAAACUUUAAACAGAGACACCGACAAACAGAAAACUGCCUUUAUUGCAUUGACAAAACACUCAAAAAAUUCUGAAAAAUCCUAAAUUUUAAUUAAAAUCCUAAUGUUUGUGGUGAAUACUCUGACAAGUGGAUUCUGAGAUGUAUUUGGAAGUGUAAAAGACCAGGGAAAAGUAAUAUUCUUUAAGAACAGGGUGGCUAAUAGGCUUAUCAAAAACAAGUACUUCAACAUAGUAGUCAUUAAUACAAUGUAGAACUGAUUCAAGGAGAGACUUAACUGGCUAGUGGGAUAGAAAUGGAUGUCAGAAAAUAGCCUACCCAUGGACACUUGCAAUGUAUUAAAGGCUUACUUAUCAUGAGAUGGCCUUUUAAAUGACACAUUCAAGGACAAGGAAAUUCACAUGGGGAAAACACUGAACUGGGCCCUUAAUUUUCUCACAGCGUACAUUGAAAACACAUUCUUGGUGUUUCAGGGCUUAUGACAAGUAGAACUAGAAGGACCAUAGGCCUGGAUAUAGAAGAAUAUCUACAUUGCUUUGGGGUAGAAUAACUAAGAAGCAAUAAUCAAAAAGAAAAA